GGAGUAGCUCAACUUGGUAGAGCAACGGUCUCCAAAACCGUAGGUUGCGGGUUCAAGUCCUGUCUCCC
rnacentral:tRNA from 1 species